CCAACAGAUGUUAAGCUGUAGCCAGGCCUGGAUUUCUUUGAGUGCUUUGAGAGGAGGUGUGGAAUGGAGCCCUCUGGGACUUGGUUGUAUCUAGUGAGCUGUGUGUGGUUGUAUCGGAUUUUACUGUACUGUGUAUAUGUGUAUGUAUCAGUGUGUUUAGGAUGGUGUGUGUUGACAGAUUUGCUUGUGUGUGAGUGUGUGUACACUUUCGCCUGUGUGUUUGUCAGUAUAUGUAGGAGUGUGUGAGUUUACAGGUUUGUUUGUGUGUAUGUGUUUGUAUGUGUGUACCUCUUGUGCGUGUGUGCAUGUAUGUGUGUGUGUGUGUCUGUGAUAUGCAUCUUUACAGGUGUGCUUGUGUGUAAGUAUGUGUGUAUCUGUUCCUAUGUGAUUGUGUUUUGUGUGAAUCUGGGUGUUUGUAAGAGAUUGUCUGCGUGAGUAUAUGUACACUUUUGUGUAUUUCUGUGUGUGCCUGUGUGUGCUUCUGUGUGUGCCUGUGUGUGUGUGUGCUGUGUGUCUGUGUGUCUGUGUGUGUGUGUGUGUGUGUACACGCACGUGCCCAUCCCCUUUUGCCCCUUGUAUCUAUAUUACCUGCACCUCAGUGCUAGAGAGUGUAGACGCCAGAAGUCAGCCUGGCUGCUGUUCCUGAGGUAGCAUUAGUACUGAUAAAAUGUCUACAGAGACUGAGGAGGAGUUACCACCUCCUAGUCCUGAUCCCAGUAUCUCUGAGGAGGGAACCUUUCAUUCCCAAUAUAAAGUAUUGAAGACUAUUGGAAAAGGAAGCCAUGCCAAGGUCCUCCUGGCCCACCACCGGCUCACAGGAACCCCGGUGGCCGUCAAAGUUCUCCGAAAGAACAAGCAGUGGUUCCGGCCAGCCAUGACAGAAGCAAACAUAAUGAGAAAGAUCAACCACCCCAACAUUGUUUCUCUCUUACAAGUUAUUGAAAAUAAAACUAGAAUAUACCUCAUAAUGGAGCUGGUGGAAGGCCAACAACUCUACCAGUACAUUAGAGAGUCAGGGCACAUAGAGGAGGAUGAGGCCCGGCAAAUAUUCGAACAGAUAUUAUCAGCAGUGAGCUACUGCCAUGGAAAGGGGAUUGUUCACCGAGACCUCAAACUGGACAAUAUAAUGAUUGAUAAAAACAAAAAGGUCAAAGUCAUCGACUUUGGGCUUAGCAUCCAAACACAACCUGGAGAAAUGCUAAACCAGCACUGCGGUGCAUACUCUUUUGGUUCCCCAGAACUCUUCCUUGGACUUCUGUAUGACGGGAUGAAGAAUGACAUGUGGACAAUAGGAGUGGUCUUGUAUUAUAUGGUAGUGGGAAAGCUCCCAUUUGAUUCAGUGAUCAUCCAAGAAUUACAAAAACAAGUUGUUGCAGGGGUGUAUCCUGCCCCCUGUGGGGUUUCAGAAGAACUGGAGAACCUCCUUAGUCAAUUACUAACAGUAAAUCCAAUGUAUAGACCAACAGCCAGCGAGGUGAUGAAACACGCCUGGUUCGAAGAACACGGGAAGGGGUUCACAGGUCGUUAUGAAGAACUGCUUCCCCUAACACCAGACCUUGCUAUUUUGGAUGCCAUGAAAAGCAUGGGAUUUCAAGCCUCUGUAAUAAAAUACUCUCUAAUGAAAAGAAAAUAUAAUGAGGAAAUGGCAACUUAUUGCUUCCUACAACAGCAGGCUCUCCAGGGGUAUGGCUGCACAGCCCAGGCACAGCAAGUGAGUCCCGUUGCAGCCCCAUUCCCUAGCCUUGAUCCUGCUGCUGCUUUUAGAUUAGAACAAAAGAGGGGUGGAAGCCUGCCAGUCCUUGGCACCUUGCGCGUGUCAUCCUCCCACGGUCAAGUAUCUCACUAUGGCCAGAAGGCUCAUCCAAAAGCAGGCAAAAGAACCACUGUGGCUGGUCAUCUCAGGCCACUACCAAUGACACCUACACAAGACCACUAUCACAAAUGUGCCAUGAGUGUCCCAUGCAUUCAAACAACAAGCAUCUUCAGUAAGAAGAGUAGCAACAAGGAAAUAAAAGAAGAUAAUCUACUCUCCCACAGAGCCCCAUUAGAGGAUAAGCCCAUCCCCAGCAGGGUCCGGCACAGAGGUUUUAAGGGGUGGACCAGGAAUAUAGCAAAUGCCCUGAUAAAGCUGUGUUGCUGCUUGCCAAGGAGAAAGAAACCUCGCCUGGGGCAGAACAGCAUCUCACCCCAGAAAUGAGCCACAGGGAGAGUCCAGAGAACAAGCAGCAGGCACAGCCCAGUGCCAUCUUGAAAUUGUCAUGUCCUGAGUAUAAACAGGAGGUGAUUUCAGACACAUGGCCAAGGAAAAGACACCAGCAGAAGCUACAGCACCAACAGGAGUAACAGCAAUAGCACCAGCAGCAUUAGCAGUAGCAGAAGGAGGAGGAGGAGGAGAAAGAGGAGGAAGAAGACGAGAAAAAUCUGGAGGAGUAGGAAUAGGAGGAGAGGAAGAGGAGGAGGAGGAUGAGGAGGAGGAUGAGGAGGAGGAUGAGGAUGAGGAUUUUGCUUCCCUGUUGUGGAAGUAUUGCUGAAUGACUUCUUAUGGAGACAGAUACCAUGCUGAGAAAUGUUUAUGAAAUGAAUUAUCAGAAUAUUAACCAUUCAUAGGACACAUGUCAAUACUCCUGAGGAGGAUCACCCCUGGAAGAUAGUUAGAUGGCAGUGCAAGCUGUGUGCAAUGUUCUUAAUGAGGACGAUCUUCUUAAAGCUGAUGAUGUAAUAGGUCUGAAGGAUCAUUUUGUGGGAGUCAGGGUCCCAUCUAUCUCUGUCCGGGCACACAGAGCUCCUGGCCUUGCAUCCUGCCAGGGAGGUGACCGGGAUUAUUGGCUUCCCCGGUCCUCUCAGGUUCUGGAUUGCUUGGUUACCCCUCAGUCAUGGUCUACCCUGUGCCUCAUGGUGUCAGGAGCUUCUAUGGGCUGAAUUUAAUCAGUGAUUCACUGGAGCUGGAUCUGAACCCAAACCACAGGGAAGCCCUGGGCACUGAGGACAAUAAGAGCAGCAGACAACAUCUCCUCCACUGCUUCUCUCUCUGCUCCACAAGCCAAGGCAGCUCCCACACAGCAGGCAUCCAGCCUAACUCCCAGCAGGGAGAGAGUGAAAUGUCUGAGGAUGAGCCCACAUUACAGUACGAUUCUGUGGGAAGACAUCUGGUAGCUUCUGGUGCAGCUGCGGCAGCCAGGACACAUGGAACUGCAGUGGAGGUGAGCUAUAGGACCAGGUAGCAAAGAGUCUGAUCUGGCCAAUGCUGAUCUGAAUCCCUGGGUGCAGGCAGAAAGGUCAGUCAGGGCUACACUGAAGGCCAGUCAAGGGCAUGCAAUGUGUCACUAACACUGUGUGUGACCACAUUCUGAAAGUCUUGUCCAGAAAAAAACAAGUGGUCUUGAGCACUGAGUUUCAGUCCCGACUCAUGGGGUACAGGAUAGCAGAUUGACCUGAGUAUGAAAUCGCAUGAAUAUGCCCUCUGGGUGCUCCCUGGGCUCAGGAUAGAUGGGCCCUGAGAAGGCACCAUUCAUGGGUCUGCAGGAGUAGGGGAGAGCUUGGCAUUCAUGAGGCACUCCUAACCCUUACUUGAGCCACUCUGGGGAGGAGAUGGCAUCAUUUGUGAGAUGGGCUUAUGUGGGACACUAUGCUUCGAUGUAUGGCACAGACAGCUCCUUUCCUUGCUGACAGUUCAGACCCACAGCUGGCCUCAUCUCAGACAGUCCCAUGAGGAGUGGUGUUUGGUUCCUGCUUCACAGUUAGGGCAGGAAAACACCUAGGAUACGAUGGGCCACUGCAGUGAGUACGGGCCAUGUGCCUGUCUUGUCCUUGCUUACUUGUUUUUUCCUCUUCCUCUUCCUCUUCCUCCUCCUCCUCCUCCUCCUCCUCCUCCUCCUCCCCCUCCUUCCCCUCUUCCUCCUCUUCCUCCUUCUCCUCUCCCUCCUCAUCCUUAUCCUCCUCCUCUUCCUCUUCUUCCUCCACCUAAUUUCAGGAGCCACCCAGAGACCUUCGCAGGAGUGUGGGUCACUCUAAUCAGAAUGCAGGGCUGGAGAUCAAAUUGUGGGUUAAGUUCUCUAUCCAGUCCUGUUUACUCCCCCACACACCCUGCCUACCUGAGAUUUCCAAAUUGGGUUCUCAGGGUCGUGGAGAAUCCUCUAAGGGUCGUGGAGAAUCCUCUACAGGCAGCCCUGCAGAUACAGCCAGUUUCUUGGGAACACUGGGUUUAGCAGGAGUCCUCUCCAUCAGGCUCAGAACCUUAGAGUGAGAGGGCUUGCUGAGUGGCACACCAGGACCAGAAAAAUGUAGAGCCCUCCAGUGGUAGUCAUGAAGUACUGCAGGAGUUUAUUUCCUGAUUUCUUUACUUCUACCUUGUUCUAAAGCCUUUUAAGGACCCCUAGGGACCAAAAAAACUUGAUUUUGGACCCCCAUAGCGCACCAGAGAGACUAAACAAGCAGCCCUGUGAAACUUCUGCAGAGGACAGUGUGGGCUCUGUGUUUAUAGAAUGGCUCUGGACUGGCAUGAAGGCUGAUUGACCAGCCAGUCACAGAGAGCUAGGGACAGUUAGAGACUUGGAGGAGAGAGCAUGAGCGGCAGAGACAGCAGAGUCGAGGCCUACAGAGGAGCCAGCUCAUUUAAUAGAGAAGCAUAUGCCCUCCCAAAAGGCUGUCAGCUUAAGACACUGCACUGAAGACCUUACCCAGUAACAUGCCUCAUUUAUAUGUCACCUACCUGUGGCUUGUGUAGGCUCCUCAGGGCAGAUCCUAAAGUCCAUCAUGACUGAAAAGCAGAAGUUUGCACAUCACUGCAAUGUGGAGGCUACUCUCAGCUGAUGGGACCCACACAGUCUGUGGACAAGUUUGCUUAAGUGAUAGUUGGCCGUCCUUGAACUCUCGGGUCUUCCAGGGUAGUGUGUGUUGACCACAUGCAGAGUCAUUCCUAAAGACAUAAGUGCCAAAAUUCAACAACAGGGAGAGAAUCCUGCACUGGAUGGAAUCACUCAGCCCAGUGUGGACACAAAGACAUCCUAUGCCAUGGCAUGGAGGCUCCCAAGAACUUCUAGGAUGAAUGUGAGGCACACAAGAGCCUACAGUGCAGCCUGGGAGAACAUUAAAGUAUCUGGAAUUAUCAGGGACCCUAAGGUUGAAGAGGCAGAGAAUGACCGCAGAGGUGACCAGUAUGUCCUCAGCUUGGACAACAAGUGUCUGCUCAAUCAUACAGACAGCUCACGACUAUCUCACCCAGCGAAACCUGAGACUGCACACUAGUGGACCAGCUGGUUCCUCAAGAGCUUAGCUCUCUCAAUGGCAUGAAGUUCAGGCACCACCUCUUCCUAUACUGACCUGGUGAAGACAGAACCCUGGAGGACAUUGUGGUCUGGGCAAGAGAUAUACAGCAGCCCUUUCUGUGCCAGCCAGCCUUAAGGUUGCUUGAGAUCAUUCCAGCAUCACCAGUCUCCAGCCUUUUCCAAGAAAGUCAAUUGUUGGCCCUUACCACUUCUGCCCACCACAUCAGUCUCCUUUCCCUGCCCACUUGUAGGAGACAGGGGGACCCAGCUCUGACAUGAUCCUAGGGCUUUGGAUGGGCUCUAUUUUUCCUGUUUGUGGCUGUAAGCUACUAGGAUUCUCAGGAGCAUAAGUGUAUGAGAGAAACAAGUGUCUUAUUAGACCUGAAGCAGCUUGUGCUCUGGUCUUAUCUGCUAGAGAAGAUGUCGUGAAGGGACAUGGGCAGUAGAGGGAGGUCUAUGACUGCAAAGCCUGCCUAGGCUCCAAGAACCCAGAGCUGGGUACUGCAGGAUUUCCUAGAUCACAACUCUGCAGUUCCUCUUCUCAUGUCUUGCUUUUACCUACUGUACCCAACACAAAGGCCUCCCUUGCAGUAUGUCUCAGUUCCAUAUGAGACUCUGCAAACCAGACAUCUUUGUACGAAAUGGAAAAGAACCCUUACUGCACAUCUCAGGUUGUGGAGGCUGGUCCAUCCUGUCUGACAGUGUUGCUGAGGCACUGGUAUAGGGCUGUUUGGGGUCUCCUCUCCUUACCUUAGCCAAGGAGGUCCAGGGCCAUCAAGCAGGUACUGUCCAUGGGCUCUGGAAAGGUUCAUGGUAUAUUAUCUACUCAUGGAGCCCUCAAGAUUUCUUUACUGCCCAGGGUCCAAAGAAGUAUUUGAUGUCCCUUUACUUGAAUAAGAGGAGACUUGACUGUCACUGCUGCUCACACGUUCUUGGUAGU